rnacentral:rRNA from 1 species
GACAGAGGAUGCAAGCGUUAACAGGAAUUAUUGGGCGUAAAGAGUACGUAGGCGGCUUAUCCAGUCAGGGGUUAAAUCCCGCAGCUUAACUGCGGAUCAGCCUUUGAAACUGAUCGGCUAGAGUAUGGUAGGGGUAGAGGGAAUUCCCGGUGUAGCGGUGAAAUGCGUAGAUAUCGGGAAGAACACCUGUGGCGAAAGCGCUCUACUGGACCAUAACUGACGCUGAGGUACGAAAGCUAGGGGAGCGAAUGGG